rnacentral:rRNA from 1 species
UUUUUGUUGAAAAUAGAAAGUAGAGUCUGCCCGGUGAAACUUUUAACGGCCGCAAUAUUUGUGCGAAGGUAGCAUAAUCAUUUGUCUUUUAAUUGAUGACUGGAAUGAAUGGCUGGACGGGGAUAAGCUGUCUUAAUUAUAUAUUUUUGAAAUUUACUUUUAAGUAAAAAGGCUUAAAUGUUUUAGAGGGACGAGAAGACCCUAUUGAGUUUAAUAGAGAAUAUUUUAAUUUUUUCUAAAAUUUGGAGGGUAUCUAUUUAGUUGGGGAGAUUUAAUAAUAUUAACUAUAUAAGAAUAUAUAGACAUUAAGUUUUUAGGAUCCAUAUUUUAUGAGUAUUAGGAUAAAUUACCUUAGGGAUAACAGCGUAAUAUUUUUUUAGAGUUCGAAUCGACUAAAAUGUUUACGACCUCGAUGUUGGAUUAAGGAACCUAAUUGGAGAAGAUUUUAAUUUAGGUAGUCUGUUCGACUA